UGACUAGCUUUGUCAGUUAUGUAACCCACUUGUUCAUGCUGUUGUCAGGAUCAAAAGAUCUUACACAGCUUCUUGGCCUUCAGAAACCCUAAAGAUCUGGGCUACAUUGCAUUAACAUGAUGCAUACUAUAGAAGGAUUAGGACAUCCUCAAUAAACUCUUCUUGUGGCCAUAUAUUUGCUUUUCUCAGGUGAGCUCAAAUCUGCAAUACACAGUGAUUAAAAACAAGCUGACUCUUACAAGUCUUUCAACUUAAAGUUACAUAUUUAAUAAACAAUUCACUCAAAUCAUACCUUGUUUUACAGUAGAGAUGUGAAAGGGGAUCAGAUGUAUGAAGUGUCAGGUCAAGGCUAGUUUAAGACACACUUCAGACACCUAAAAAACACCAGUAGCACUUUGUACUCUUGUUGAGAUCUCACCAAGCUACACCAUCUCAAAGUAUUCUGCAAACAAGCGGUUGUGCCUCUGCUGUAAGAGAUAUCAGUAUUACUCCCAUUACAGAUAGGAAAAGUUAAAACAAAAGGGACAUGGAUUUGUCUCGUCGGUGGCAGAGCUGGGAUCAGAUUCACUUGUCCUGAUUUUUUGCUCUAAGCACCAGCAUUGUUUCUCAGGUGUUAUGUCAGCCAAGCCUUCACUGAUGAACAAUGGGGCAGGAAGCAGAGUAAAGCCAAAUAAGGCCAGUGUUCAUCUUGAAUUAGAUCAAUAAUAAUGGAACCUGAGUAGCUGCUUGGAAAUUACUACAGGUUGACAACUUGAUAAUAUGAGGAAGAGAAAGACCUGUAGAUUUUGGUGAGGAAAGAGGUCCUUGGGGAAAAACUCUUACAAAUUAAAACCAGACUAACAGGUGAAUUUUGGUAUCUGUUCAUCUGUUCUUUGUGGUGUAGCUGAGUUUGACAAAUGUCAUUACUUUCCUUGGUUUGCAGCUAUUUUAUUUUGUACCUGGAAAUCCCCGCUACUCACAGUGAACUGUUGCCCACUGGAUGCUCUGAACACACCGUUCAUGGCCCCUGUGACCUUCUGAGCACUGAAGAUGCAUUGAACCUUGGCCAGAAUAUGGCAAAGGCAAGGGACUUGCCUCAAGGUUCCAGGGUAUGGAAUAGAGGGGGAAGAAACCCAGGGAGAGCCCUUCUCAGGCAGAUGAAGCACUUUGAGUGCUGUUCUGGUGAGGAAUGCUUUUUUAUCUUCUGUCAUGUGCAUGAGCCACUUCCCUUGGAGCAUUCCUCUCUGCCGUUGUUCUCAUCUCUACUCUCCCCACUCCUAGGCAGAUGCUGAUGCUGUCUGGACAUGCCUUGUGGAAAUGAGCUUCUCUAUGGGAUGGAGGACUGCACGCUGCCUUUGGAGAAAAGGAGGGCCAGGAUUACUGCUCCCAGCAGUACUGAAAUAGCUAUUUACCCACAGCAGGAAAAUGUUAUUUUUGGGGCAAAAGGGAGCUGUAAUGUUUUCCUGUUACAGUAGUUGGCAGCAUUUCUCUAUAGCCCAAACAGUUCUUACUUUACUCUUUGCUGUAAGUUUACUAGAAGGAGAGACAUAUAUGACCAAUUCUGUAAUUCAAACAAUAUACUGACAGUAAGACAGGUUUAAACCCUGGGAGACUAUGGGGAUGGAGUGAAGGAAUAGCAGAGUGGGACCCUGUACCAAGAGCCUAAGCUGAGAGGAUACUGGUGGCUAUGUGCAGAGAAAUGUUGCAUGCACAGUGAUUUUCAAAGCAUAGACUAUUUGGAAUAAAGUAAGGACAUCUCUUGCA
rnacentral:lncRNA from 1 species